UGCCCGUCUUACAUCUGUUGACCUGAAAGGGUUCCUUUUUGCUGUGCUUGACCAUUAUGGAGAGGUUCGUGGAGCUGUACAAAAUCAAGAGCGGCAUAGAAAGGCUAACUAGGCUCAUAAGAUGCUUCGGAGAUGAUAGCCCUACACAAAGGAAGAGGACAGAGGACCUCAUUUUCUAAAGGAAGAUCCCUCACACACUUUCAAGACUGUGAAGCCGACAGGUAUUGAAGACACGUUUUCUAAGAGGAUGAAAGUUGGCAUUGCGAUGGUGAAAGAAGAAGACAUCGAUGUGUUGGUUGUCCUUGAGGCAGCA